GUGCGUAGGUGGUCCGUUAAGUUCGUUGUGAAAUCCCUGGGCUCAACCCAGGAAAUGCUUCGAAUACUGGCGGACUUGAGGCUAGUAGAGGUCACUGGAACUGACGGUGGAGCGGUGAAAUGCGUAGAUAUCGUCAGGAACGCCGGUGGUGAAGACGGGUGACUGGGCUAGUUCUGACACUGAGGCACGAAAGCGUGGGGAGCGAACGGGAUUAGAUACCCCGGUAGUCCACGCCCUAAACGAUGCAGACUAGACUGCAGCGGGUUACACCCCGUUGCGGUCGGAGCGAAAUUGUUAAGUCUGCCACCUGGGAAGUACGGUCGCAAGGCUAAAACUCAAAGGAAUUGACGGGGGCUCACACAAGCGGUGGAGCAUGUGGCUCAAUUCGAAGCAACGCGAAGAACCUUAUCCUGGAUUUGACAUGGUGGAAGUACGAAACAGAAAUGUCUAGGACCGGUAUCCAAUCCGGAACCACACAGGUGCUGCAUGGCUGUCGUCAGCUCGUGCUGUGAAGUGUCGGGUUAAGUCCCAUAACGAGCGAAACCCCUAUCGUUAGUU
rnacentral:rRNA from 1 species